rnacentral:misc_RNA from 1 species
UGGUUCUGGCAUCGAUGAAGAACGCAGCGAAAUGCGAUAAGUAAUGUGAAUUGCAGAAUUCAGUGAAUCAUCGAAUCUUUGAACGCACAUUGCGCCCGCCAGCAUUCUGGCGGGCAUGCCUGUUCGAGCGUCAUUUCAACCCUCAAGCCCCCCGCGGCUUGGUGUUGGGGCUCCUCCUGCGGCGACGCAGGGCCCCUAAAGACAGUGGCGGACCCGCCGAGGCUCCGAGCGCAGUAGUUUUACGCCUCGCUCUGGAGUUUCCCCGGCGGGCUUCUUGCCGUGAAACCCCCCAAACAUACCAAAGGUUGACCUCGGAUCAGGUAGGAAUACCCGCUGA